GAUAGAUGAAGCAGUGUAAAAAAUACCAGUAAAGUUGCUAAAAGAUCAAAACGCAAAUGUUCUGGACCAAAAUUUGUUGGGAAAGAAAUAUUACAUGAAUGGGUGGAGGAAAACAACAACAGAAAGUGGUAUACAGGCAGGGUAAUUUCUGUUAUCAAGAAUAAAGAUGGAGACAAAGAUGCUGUAUAUGAAGUUUUAUAUGAAGACUGUGAUGAACCUUAUGAAAUUGAUCAUUUGCUAGAGGAUUUUACAAAUUCCUCUUUGAAAUUGAUUGAUUUAUAGAUUUUUAGAAGACAGAAUAUAUA